rnacentral:rRNA from 2 species
AUACGCUGCGAAAAGCCGUGGGGAGCUGCGAAUAAGCUUUGAUCCAUGGAUCUCCGAAUGGGGCAACCCACCUUAAAUGCUUGGAAAAUCCAGUCCGAUCGAGUGAUCGGCCUGGGUUUCCAAGCAUUGUGAUAAGGUAUCUGCACCUGAAUAAACUAGGGUGUAAGAAGCGAACGCAGGGAACUGAAACAUCUAAGUACCUGCAGGAAAGGACAUCAACCGAGACUCCGCAAGUAGUGGCGAGCGAACGCGGACCAGGCCAGUGGCAAUUGUUGUUAAAGCGGAACACUCUGGAAAGUUUGGCCGUAGCGGGUGACAGCCCCGUACGCGUAGAUACAGCGAUUGUCCUAGAGUAGGGCGGGACACGAGAAAUCCUGUCUGAACAUGGGGAGACCACUCUCCAAGCCUAAGUACUCGUGCAUGACCGAUAGC